rnacentral:lncRNA from 1 species
CUUAGAAAUUAGGGCACCCUGAAAAUGAAGUAGGGCAGUAGGAACUUGUAGAGCAGCAAUCUAAAAUUAUAGUGUUGUCCUCUCCACAGCAGGCGGUGAGGCUGAACCUGAAACAAAACACCACACAAUCUCAAUCUCAAUAUGCAGUUAAGCAGCAGCGACAACCACACAAUCUCAAUCUCAAUGUGCAGUUAAGCAACAGCGACAUAGGUUCAUCCGAUGGACGCAGGUAGGUGGUAACCGAUCCUCAAUUUUGCCGUGGCCAUGGAAAUAGACCGGCAGAGGACGACAUGGCUAGCAGCUUCAUCGGAGUUGCAUGCCUAAGAAAAUGGAAAAGCUUCAUCGGAGCUGGUCCCACAUGAUCCUAGUAAGCCAAAAACACAUCAUUAAGGGGAAAGAAAAAGGCCCUCAAUAUGAUACUAUCUAUUCAUUGAGAAGAACAACCCUACCAGUCCAACACUUUCACCACCACAUAUCAAAAGGUGAGGUACGGUCUAUAAACAAGGGGAUCCUCGUCCACAGGCUCCUCGAGCGACAGGCGCGCGAGCAGGGAC